UACGGAGGGUGCAAGCGUUAUCCGGAUUCACUGGGUUUAAAGGGUGCGUAGGCGGAUAGGUAAGUCCGUGGUGAAAUCCUGCAGCUUAACUGCAGAACUGCCAUGGAUACUAUUUAUCUUGAAUGUCGUGGAGGUUAGCAGAAUAUGUCAUGUAGCGGUGAAAUGCUUAGAUAUGACAUAGAACACCAAUUGCGAAGGCAGCUCGCUACACAGUUAUUGACUCUGAGGCACGAAAGCGUGGGGAUCAAACAGG
rnacentral:rRNA from 1 species